AUUGAACGCUGGCGGCAGGCUUAACACAUGCAAGUCGAGCGGGGUGAUGGUGCUUGCACUAUCACUUAGCGGCGGACGGGUGAGUAAUGCUUAGGAAUCUGCCUAUUAGUGGGGGACAACAUCUCGAAAGGGAUGCUAAUACCGCAUACGUCCUACGGGAGAAAGCAGGGGAUCACUUGUGACCUUGCGCUAAUAGAUGAGCCUAAGUCGGAUUAGCUAGUUGGUGGGGUAAAGGCCUACCAAGGCGACGAUCUGUAGCGGGUCUGAGAGGAUGAUCCGCCACACUGGGACUGAGACACGGCCCAGACUCCUACGGGAGGAAGCAGUGGGGAAUAUUGGACAAUGGGGGAAACCCUGAUCCAGCCAUGCCGCGUGUGUGAAGAAGGCCUUAUGGUUGUAAAGCACUUUAAGCGAGGAGGAGGCUCUUUUGGUUAAUACCCAAGAUGAGUGGACGAUACUCGCAGAAUAAGCACCGGCUAACUCUGUGCCAGCCGCCGCCGUAA
rnacentral:rRNA from 1 species